GCUCAGGUGGCAGAAUCCGGCAAUUGUGAGAGGCCUAAGCCCUCUUCCUUAGAGGUUCAAGUCCUCUCCUUAGCU
rnacentral:tRNA from 1 species